rnacentral:rRNA from 1 species
GCCCGCAGCUAUAUCAUCCUACAACUCACAACUGGCAACCCUCAGCUCAGCAGGUGUGAGCCUGGUCAGUACCUGGAUGGGAGACCUCCUGGGAAAACUAAGGUUGCUGGAA